CCAGAGUGAUGAUGAAUCCCCAGUUCGCAGUUUCCACUAGAUGGGAUAUGCUAACACAUAUCUCGCUGAUGGUAUAACUUCCUUGGAUGUCUGACUGG
rnacentral:snoRNA from 1 species